CUCUAGCAUUUCUAGUAUUAGAGGCACUGCCUGCCCAGUGACACUAGUUAAACGGCCGCGGUAUCCUGACCGUGCAAAGGUAGCAUAAUCAUUUGUUCCCUAAAUAGGGACUUGUAUGAAUGGCCACACGAGGGCUUUACUGUCUCUUACUUCUAAUCCGUGAAAUUGACCUUCCCGUGAAGAGGCGGGAAUACAACAAUAAGACGAGAAGACCCUAUGGAGCUUUAAUUAACCGGCCCAAAGAAACCUUACUAACAACCGACAGGGAUAACAAACCUCUACAUGGACCGGCAAUUUAGGUUGGGGUGACCUCGGAGAACAAAAUAACCUCCGAGUGAUUUAAAUCUAGACUAACCAGUCAAAAGUAUCACAUCACUUAUUGAUCCAAAAACUUGAUCAACGGAACA
rnacentral:rRNA from 1 species